UACGUAGGGGGCAAGCGUUGUCCGGAAUCAUUGGGCGUAAAGAGCGUGUAGGCGGCUCGAUAAGUCUGCUGUGAAAGUCCAGGGCUCAACCCUGGAAGGCCGGUGGAAACUGUCGGGCUAGAGUCCGGAAGAGGCGAGUGGAAUUCCCGGUGUAGCGGUGAAAUGCGCAGAUAUCGGGAGGAACACCAAUGGCGAAGGCAGCUCGCUGGGACGGUACUGACGCUGAGACGCGAAAGCGUGGGGAACAAACAGG
rnacentral:rRNA from 1 species